UGUUUAAUUAAAACAAAGCAUUGCGAUGGCCGGAAACGGUGUUGACGCAAUGU
rnacentral:rRNA from 1 species